rnacentral:lncRNA from 1 species
GGAAUCACAAGCGCCCAGGAACGGCAAGGAGAAAGUUUCUUUGGCACCACGGUACCACACGAAGAUUGGGUUUCAGUGUACCAGCGUCCUGUCACCUUUGGGACGAGAGGACUGGUCCAGUUCGUGAGAUAAUAACUGCCGUCAUAUAAAGUAUCAAUCAUCUUACUACCAAAAAAAAAAAAGGUAUCAAUCAUCUUGUGACUUAUGAUAAUAAAUACACUCUUUUCUUUUCUUUUCUUUUUUCCUUUUUAAGCUUGGAUCUCUCCGAUUUGGGACUAAAGGAGAGGGAACGAUUUCAUACAAUAUUACAGGUUAGAGUCUUCAAUCCAAACCUAAAAUUACAGCUCAAGUAUUCAUAUAUGCCAUUACAGAUGUAAUGAAAUCCAUAUGGUAAAUAAGACCAAAUUAUGAUACUAUGAAGCUCGGAUGAUCACAAGCAUUGCAUGAAAUACAAAGAGCUAUGAUAUUCGUAUAUGCCAUAAUAGUCGUUAUAGUCGUGAUUGCAUGAAAUUGAUAUGGUAAAUAAGACCACAUUAUAUGAUAUGAUGGAGCUUGCAAAAUCUCAACCAUCCAUGAUACGUAGAGAGCCAUGAUUGCAAGACUAGAGCUCUCCAAUACACAAUGUAGAGGCCUCCUUCAAAACUUGCCAUUCAUUGUCCAUCUCAUCCAAUCUGUCCAACCAAUCAGACAACUUCGUCAUGCAUGGCUCCACACUGGACCAAAGCAUCAGCAUUAUGCAAGAAACACCUUGACUUGAAUCUGAAUUGAUGACCUGGGAAAUCUAGGCAUAUCUUAUGCAAAGGAUGCAAUAUGCCUUUGCCCUAC